rnacentral:tRNA from 1 species
GGGCCCGUAGUUCAACGGGUAGAACAUCUCAUUUGCAAUGAGAAGGCAAGCAGUUCGAGCCUGCUCGGGUCCA